rnacentral:rRNA from 1 species
UACGUAGGGGGCAAGCGUUGUCCGGAUUUAUUGGGCGUAAAGAGCGUGUAGGCGGCCAAGCAGGUCAGCUGUGAAAACUCGAGGCUCAACCUCGAGACGUCGGUUGAAACCGCUUGGCUAGAGUCCGGAAGAGGAGAGUGGAAUUCCCGGUGUAGCGGUGAAAUGCGCAGAUAUCGGGAAGAACACCCGUGGCGAAGGCGGCUCUCUGGGACGGUACUGACGCGUGAGGCGGCGAAAGCGUGGGGAGCGAACAGG